rnacentral:rRNA from 2 species
GGUUGACCUCGGAUCAAGUAGGGAUACCCGCUGAACUUAAGCAUAUCAAUAAGCGGAGGAAAAGAAACCAACAGGGAUUACUAGUAACGGCGAGUGAAGCGGUAACUGCUCAAAUUUGAAAGCUGCCAACAGGCCGCGUUGUAAUUUGUAGAAGAUGCUUUGGGUGUCGGCCCAGUCUAAGUUCCUUGGAACAGGACGUCAUAGAGGGUGAGAAUCCCGUAUGUGAUUGGUGCCGUCCCCCGUGUAAAGCUCUUUCGACGAGUCGAGUUGUUUGGGAAUGCAGCUCAAAAUGGGUGGUAAAUUUCAUCUAAAGCUAAAUAUUGGCCAGAGACCGAUAGCGCACAAGUAGAGUGAUCGAAAGAUGAAAAGCACUUUGGAAAGAGAGUUAAACAGUACGUGAAAUUGUUGAAAGGGAAGCGCUUGCAAUCAGACUUGCAGGCGGUUGAUCAUCCGAGGUUCUCCCCGGUGCACUCGAUCGUCUUCAGGCCAGCAUCGGUUUCAGUGGUGGGAUAAAGGCUGUGAGAACGUGGCUCUUCGGAGUGUUAUAGCUCACGGUGCAAUGCCGCCUACUGGGACCGAGGACCGCGCUUCGGCUAGGAUGCUGGCGUAAUGGUUGUAAGCGACCCGUCUUGAAACACGGACCAAGGAGUCUAACAUCUAUGCGAGUGUUUGGGUGUCAAACCCAUACGCGUAAUGAAAGUGAACGGAGGUGAGACCCCAUUAGGGCGCAUCAUCGACCGAUCCUGAUGUCUUCGGAUGGAUUUGAGUAAGAGCAUAGCUGUUGGGACCCGAAAGAUGGUGAACUAUGCGUGAAUAGGGUGAAGCCAGAGGAAACUCUGGUGGAGGCUCGCAGCGGUUCUGACGUGCAAAUCGAUCGUCAAAUUUGCGUAUAGGGGCGAAAGACUAAUCG